GACGAACGCUGGCGGCGUGCUUAACACAUGCAAGUCGAACGGAGUGGCGAACGGGUGAGUAACACGUGGGUGACCUGCCCUGCACUUCGGGAUAAGCCUGGGAAACUGGGUCUACUACCGGAGAGUGUGGGAUGGGCCCGCGGCCUAUCGGCUUGUUGGUGGGGUAAUGGCCUACCAAGGCGGCGACGGGUAGCCGGCCCGAGAGGGUGGACGGCCACAUUGGGACUGAGGCACGGCCCAGACGGCUACGGGAGGCAGUAGGGGGGAGUAUUGCACAAUGGUCGGAAGUGUGAUGCAGAGACGCCGGGUGGGGGAUGACGGCCUUCGGGUUGUGAACUCCUUUAACCAUCGACGCGGUAGAUGGAGAAGAAGCACCGGCUAACUACGUGCCAGCAGCCGCGGUAAUUC
rnacentral:rRNA from 1 species